rnacentral:tRNA from 1 species
GGGCACUUAGCUCAGCGGCAGAGCGCUGCACUCACAUUGCAGAGGUCACAGGUCCGAUCCCUGUAGUGCCCA